rnacentral:tRNA from 1 species
GCCUCUAUAGCUUAGCUCGGUUAUUGCGCUUCCUUGGUAAAUUAAAGAGAUAAACAAAUCUCUAAAUCUUUUCAGGAAGAGGUCGUGGGUCCAAAUCCCACUAGAGGCU